rnacentral:rRNA from 1 species
GUAGUUUGAUCGAGUGCUACGAGGACGACGCUGGCGGCGUGCUUAACACAUGCAAGUGGAGCGACGAACCGGGGCUUGCCCCGGGGCAGAGCCGCGAACGGGUGAGUAACACGUGGGUAACCUGCCUCAAUGAUUGGGACAACCCGGGGAAACUCGGGCUAAUACCAAAUGUGUUCACUCCUUCUAAGGGGAGUGAGGAAAGGAAGCUUCGGCCUCCGCAUUGAGAUGGGCCCGCGGCCCAUUAGCUUGUUGGUGAGGUAACGGCUCACCAAGGCUUCGAUGGGUAGCUGGUCUGAGAGGACGAUCAGCCACACUGGGACUGAGACACGGCCCAGACUCCUACGGGAGGCAGCAGUGGGGAAUCUUGCACAAUGCGCGAAAGCGUGAUGCAGCAACGCCGCGUGGGGGAAGACGGCCUUCGGGUUGUAAACCCCUUUCAGUUGGGACGAAGCUUCGUCGGUGAAUAGCCGGUUGGAGUGACGGUACCUUCAGAAGAAGCCCCGGCUAACUACGUG